rnacentral:lncRNA from 1 species
AGCAUUCCAGCCGGGGUGGCUCUCAUGGUGGCCCAAUGUCAUCUCCUGUGGGUACUCGUGCUUCCCCUGCGGCUACUCGUGCUUCCGUAAGCGUCCCUGUCACUGCCAGUUCCACACCAGAGGUUACCGUAGCACGCAUCUCUGUCUCCAGUCCAACUCAGUUCAGCCACUGCGACCCCACAGAAACUAGGCGCGGUCAGAUAGCAGAAGGGGCCCGGAGUCCUCACGAAGGCAAGUCUGCAGAGAAGGCAGAAGAGCCUAGAGAAGGUACUGCUGUGGCUAAGCCAGAGGCCACAACCAUGGCUAAGACUGCUGUUGUCACGCCCACCUCACCCUCGCUUAGUGCGGGCCACGAAGCUAAUCCAUAAAAGCGCCAGUGGAAGAGCCACCAGCAGCACUCUGAACCCAGAGACAGCCCUCCAUGUUUGAGCAAACAGUUUCAAAGGUUCCAGCUAAUGGCCCAAGCAGGCUCCAAUGAAAACCCACCCUGCUGAGUUGUUCAUGGUCUGUGUGUUCAGAGUACGGGUGGAUAAAAAGCCUACAAAUAAGA